GUUAGGAAUAUUGGACAAUGGGCGCAAGCCUGAUCCAGCCAUGCCGCGUGAGUGAUGAAGGCCUUCGGGUUGUAAAGCUCUUUAGCCGAUGAUUAUAAUGACUGUAGUCGGAAAAUAAGCCCCGGCUAACUUCGUGCCAGCAGCCGCGGUAAUACGAAGGGGGCGAGCGUUAUUCGGAAUCACUGGGCGUAAAGCGUGCGUAGGCGGCUUUGCAAGUUGGGAGUGAAAGCCUAGGGCUCAACCCUGGAAUUGCUCUCAAAACUGCAAGGCUCGAAUUCGGGAGAGGAUAGCGGAAUUGUCAGUGUAGCAGUGAAAUGCGUAGAUAUUGACAGGAACACCAGUGGCGUAAGCGGCUAUCUGGACCGAUAUUGACGCUGAGGCACGAAAGCGUGGGGAUCAAACAGGAUUAGAUACCCUAGUAGUCC
rnacentral:rRNA from 1 species